AACAGAUCAAUGGGGGGGGGGGGUGAUGUGUAACUUUCAUUUGCUUCCUAGUUAAAUGCAGCUCGGAGCCGCCGGCCGGCCCGCGGCAGGAGACAUUCCACGCCUGAGCCGAGGACAGAGAGGAACCAGGAAGGCAGAGGUGGACAAUCAGCCGUUUCGAGGCCAUCAGAAGAGCGGGCGGACAGGAGCCAGGCCAAGGAGCUGACUCACGAACCCGCUUCCCCUCCAGAUCUGGCCUGCCGGAGAGCCAGGACAGUGCCGCCAGCGGGAUCCCGGAGCCACCGGCCUCUGAACCGCACGGUGUGGGACGGAGACGGCCGGGCCCCGUCGCAGCUUCCUGAAGCAGGGUGGUGCCGCGCUCCCCACAUGGCAGCUGGGUGCCCCCCGUAACGCCAGUCAAACUGGACGCCUCGGGCCCACGUGAGACACCCUCAGGCCAGAGCCCGCCCGCCCGCCACUCCCAGCCCAGCUGGGACUCCCCAGCAGCCUCCC